UAUGGCUGUGAUGACACACUUGCCCUCACUGAGAUAAGGCUUGAUUGAUAUAAUUUGUACUCCUGAGCCACA
ensembl:snoRNA